AACGAACGCUGGCGGCGUGUUUAAGACAUGCAAGUCGCACGGGGCAAAAUGUAUAGCAAUAUCCGUUUUGUUCAGUGGCGCACGGGUGAGUAACACGUGAAUUACAUGCCCUAUAGUGGGGAAUAGCCCAGGGAAAAUUGGAUUUAUACCCCAUGGUAUCGCGAGAUUAAAGGUGGCCUGCAAAGGCUGUCGCUAUAGGAUUGGUUCGCGCCCUAUCAGCUUGUUGGUGAGGUAACGGCUCACCAAGGCUACGACGGGUACCCGGUCUGAGAGGACGAUCAGGCACACUGGAACUGAGACACGGUCCAGACACCUACGGGUGGCAGCAGUCGAGAAUAAUUCACAAUGGGGGCAACCCUGAUGGUGCAACGCCGCGUGGAGGAUGAAGGUCUUCGGAUUGUAAACUCCUGUCAUCCGGGAGUAAGACCUGGGAGUGAAUAGCUCACAGGGUUGAUAGUACCGGAAGAGGAAGGGACGGCUAACUUCGUGCCAGCAGCCGCAGUAAAAC
rnacentral:rRNA from 1 species